rnacentral:rRNA from 1 species
AGUUUGAUCCUGGCUCAGAACGAACGCUGGCGGCGUGGAUUAGGCAUGCAAGUCGAACGCGAACGGGAGCGGAACAUUCCUUCGGGAUUGGGAUGCUCCCUAGUAGAGUGGCGAACGGGUGAGUAACGCGUGGGUAACCUGCCCUCGAGAUGGGGAUAACACCCCCAACGGGGUGCUAAUACCGAAUAAUAUCAUCUUUUCAAACGCUUAGAUGAUCAAAGGUGGCCUCUACUUGUAAGCUACCGCUUGAGGAUGGGCCCGCGUCUCAUUAGCUUGUUGGUGAGGUAACGGCUCACCAAGGCUGUGAUGGGUAGCUGUGUACUGAGAGGAUGUAAUGUCCAGCCACACUUUGGAUUGAGAUACGGCCCAGACUCCUUCGGGAGGCACAGCAGUCGAGAGUGCUUUCGGACAAUUGGGGAACACCCCUGACCCAAGCGACCGCCCGCGUGGGGUGAUAGAAGGAUUUUCGUUUCGUAAAGCCCUUUUCAUGGGAGAAGAAAAGCUACCGGGACAAAUACCCCGGGUGGUUUGGACGGUAUCCCAGGAGGAAGCUCCGGCAAACUCCGUGCCAGCAGCCGCGGUAAUACGGAGGGAGCAAGCGUUGUUCGGAUUUACUGGGCGUAAAGGGCGUGUAGGCGGCCUAUCAAGUCGGGUGUGAAAUCCUCUGGCUCAACCAGAGAACUGCACUCGAUACUGCUAGGCUUGAGUAUAGGAGAGGAAAGCGGAAUUCCUGGUGUAGCGGUGAAAUGCGUAGAUAUCAGGAAGAACACCAGUGGCGAAGGCGGCUUUCUGGCCUAUUACUGACGCUGAUGCGCGAAAGCCGGGGGAGCGAACAGGAUUAGAUACCCUGGUAGUCCCGGCCGUAAACGUCGGGCACUAGGUGUAGGGGGUAUCGACCCCCUCUGUGCCGAAGCUAACGCAUUAAGUGCCCCGCCUGGGGAGUACGACCGCAAGGUUGAAACUCAAAGGAAUUGACGGGGGCCCGCACAAGCGGUGGAGCAUGUGGUUCAAUUCGAUGCAACGCGAAGAACCUUACCCGGACUUGACAUGUACUUGACCGGUGUGGAAACACAUCUUCCCUUCGGGGCAGGUACACAGGUGCUGCAUGGCUGUCGUCAGCUCGUGCCGUGAGGUGUUGGGUUAAGUCCCGCAACGAGCGCAACCCUUGUCCUUAUUUGCCAUCAGUUCGGCUGGGCACUCUAAGGAGACUGCCGGUGAUAAACCGGAGGAAGGUGGGGAUGACGUCAAGUCCUCAUGGUCCUUACGUCCGGGGCUACACACGUGCUACAAUGGUCGGUACAGAGGGUAGCAAGGCCGCGAGGUGGAGCCAAUCCCAGAAAACCGGCCUCAGUUCGGAUCGGAGUCUGCAACUCGACUUCGUGAAGUUGGAAUCGCUAGUAAUCGCGGAUCAGCAGGCCGCGGUGAAUACGUUCCCGGGCCUUGUACACACCGCCCGUCAAGCCACGAAAGCCGGGAGUACCCGAAGUCGCUGUCGCAACCCCUCGGGGAGCAAGGUGCCGAAGGUAAGACUGGUAAUUGGGGCUAAGUCGUAACAAGGUAACC